GAAAGGUAAUAUUUGAAGAGGGACGGAGGGUGGUAAAAUCUGUCAAUACCUUAAAUAAAGGCAAGGCAGUUUAGUCACGUUAUCUGCCGCCCUGCUAGCUGGUGCAUUGCCACCACGCCAAUCAAGACCCAUGCUAUUUUUGUGCCUCCUUCCGGGGGGGGGGGGAGAGAGAAGAGACAAGCCGUAAAAUUAGAAACUAUAAUGCUGCCAGUUCAGGAAACAAGCUAGAUGCAUAUCUACACCAAUCCAAGAAUGUUGUGCUUGCCAACGCUACAACUUCAUUAGUCUAAAAAGAGAAACAUGCCCCAACAGUGAUUAAAACCAGAUCCUGGCCCGAUUUACAUCUCACACCCUUUAAAUGUCAAACUUCCAAUUAAAACUGUUGCUUAAUCACAAAGCAAGAGAUUGACACAAGAUUCCAAACAUCAGGGAUUUCUCUUUAAUAACAUUGUUUGAAAAGGCCAGAGCUCCAGAUCAAUGAAAUGGGGAGCAAUACAGCUCCAGCUUUUCCUGAUUAAGGUUAGUAGUUGCCGCCUCCUGCCCCUGCAGACUUUGGUCUGGCUGCUCUUCUCUUCCAGUCAUGGAAAANAUAUAAAUUGAAUUAGAAAUUUUCAUCAAGGAAAAACUGUGAAACAGACAGCCAGGACAAUCCAGUAAAUUUGCUGGCAGAAGAGUCUUUGGAACAGCAGAGGAAGAAGCCAUCAUAAACCUCAUGGAUUGAAAACUUUACAGUUGACAGGAUGCUGGAAAAGGGAUUAUGACCACAACUGGGCAUUCGGCCUCAGGCAACAUCUCAACAGCACACGCAGAGGUUGCCGGUUCAUUCCUCAGGAUCCUCAGAAAGGUCUGGAAAAGACUGAAGAGCCAAUACAUGCAUCAACAAGGCACAGGCCGAUACUGCUGUCCAUCAGGACAUGAUCUCUUUCAGGACAUCAAAUGAGCCAGAUGCACAGUUCAACAACCAGACACUUCAAGUCAUAACAAGUUAGUGAAGCGACAAAUUCUGCUUGUAAAAGAAUUAGCCUUUAUUUGCCUUGAUUACUCGGUUUUGCCCGGCAUAGUCUUUUCUAGCAGCUGUAACUCUGCUGACUUUACAGAUUGGAACGCAUUACUAGUGGGUUGUGUGGUUUCUAGGGAGCAGGGCUUGCUAAAGAGGACUUACCUAAGCUAAAAGAGAAAUGAAUGGAGCAAAAGUCAAAAAUGCCGUGUUGACAAUUCUGUGAUAUAAUGUAUUUUGAAAGAGACUAGCCUAAUUUGCAUUGCUUGUUUAUAUAGUAUGGAUACUUGUUUUUGAAGCUUAAAUCCUGCAAACACUUUUUGGAUAGCUUUGCACAUGUGUGUAUGUGAUUGAGAAAAGUCUGUACCCCCCACACCCAGAUUUCAUAUUUAAAAGUACUGAAUUGUAUUGCAUAUUGACAUUUGGGCUCGUAUAUUGGUUUUGUAUUUUGACUGUUUAUUAAUUACAUUAUUUUGAUUGUUUAAUAAUUGCUUAUCUUAUAAACCACCUUGAUACAAAUAAAC
rnacentral:lncRNA from 1 species